GCCGGUUCCUGGCUAGGGCUUCACCCUCUGGCUUGUGCCCACGAACCUAGGUGAGGACAGGCACUCCUGCCUUUGGGCCCAAAUGUUGCAUUUUCCAAAACCACCCUGGCCCACCACACCCCCAUCCUGGGCGGAUAAAAACUGAGACCCUAGCAGGCAGAUAGAUACACAAGCGUCUGGACGUCCAGAGGAGGGGAUCAGCGGAAGAAGACACAAGCAGCCGGACAUCGAGAGGAUGUCGAGGGGAGCAUGCCAGUGGAAGAGCACAUGACAGACACUGGCAGGACAGCAGGCCAUUGACUGGAGGAACGAUGUGGAGUUUAGCGAGAUCAGGAGGAGGAGAGCACGGGCCGCUAAGCAGAGGGACCCCUGGUGCAUCUCCCAUCUGGCUCCCCCAUCUGCUGAGAACUACUUCUACUCAGUAAAACCUCGGACUCAUUCUCCAAGCCCUCGCGUGAUCUGGUUCUUCCGGUACACCACGGCAGGAAACCCUGGGAUACAGAAAUCCCUCCGUCCUUGUGGAUUUUAGAAUGCCAAGCUGACAUUUUGAGUUUUUAUGAGAAACCAGAAAAUUUGGUGUGAAGACCCUAAGUGGUGUGUCUGACUUACAGCAGGCCCACAGCAAAUACAUUGGAGACUUCUCAACUUUCUGCUUCUGAUGAUCUCAACUUGUGGUAUGGCAAAAGGAGAGCAAAAUGUUCACCCAGAUGACAUCGUGAUCAACUCCUCUGAAUCACUCUAAAGGAACGAGAAGUCCUGGCAGCUGAGUCAUGAUCCCCCAGGAGCCAUUAAGAAGUUAAUCUUCAGUCACUUCCAUCCAAACAGAAGAAAACCCAUGAAGGAUGAGAACUAUGGGUCCUGAGAAUGACAGAAGCAGAUCAAGAAACUGGCGAUUGAAGAGUAACUGAAAGAAACGCAAUCUGAUCUUACUAGCAGUGAAAGAGCGAGUCUCCCUCUGAUGCCGAGCAGAAGCUAGACUGUACUGCUGCCAUCUCAGCUCACUGCAACCUCCCUGCCUGAUUCUCCUGCCUCAGCCUGCUGAGUGCCUGCAAUUGCAGGCGCGCCGCCACGCCUGACUGGUUUUCGUAUUUUUUUGGUGGAGACGGGGAUUCGCUGUGUUGGCCGGGCUGGUCUCCAGCUCCUAACCGCGAGUGAUCCACCAGCCUCGGCCUCCUGAGGUGCCGGGAUUGCAGACGGAGUCUGGUUCACUCAGUGCUCAAUGGCGCCCAGACUGGAGUGCAGUGGCGUGAUCUCAGCUCGCUACAACCUCCACCUCCCAGCCGCCUCCCUUGGCCUCCCAAAGUGCAGAGAUUGCAGCCUCUGCCCGGCCGCCACCCCGCCUGGGAAGUGAGGAGCGUCUCUGCCUGGCCGCCCAUUGUCUGGGAUGUGAGGAGCCCCUCUGCCUGGCUGCCCAGUCUGGAAAGUGAGGAGUGUCUCUGCCUGGCCGCCAUCCCAUCUAGGAAGUGAGGAGCGCCUCUUCCCGGCCGCCAUCCCAUCUAGGAAGUGAGGAGCCUCUCUGCCCAGCCGCCCAUCGUCUGAGAUGUGGGGAGCGCCUCUGCCCCGCCGCCCCGUCUGGGAUGUGAGGAGCGCCUCUACCCCGCCGCGACCCCGUCUGGGAGGUGAGGAGCGUCUCUGCCCGGCGGCCCCGUCUGGGAAGUGAGGAGACCCUCCGCCCGGCAGCCGCCCCAUCUGAGAAGUGAGGAGCCCCUCUGCCCAGCAGCCACCCUGUCUGGGAAGUGAGGAGCGUCUCUGCCCAGCAGCCACCCCGUCUGGGAGGGAGGUGGGGGGUCAGCCCCCCGCCCGGCCAGCCGCCCCGUCCGGGAGGUGAGGGGCGCCUCUGCCCGGCGGCCCCUACUGGGAAGUGAGGAGCCCCUCUGCCCGGCCAGCCGCCCCGUCUGGGAAGUGAGGAGCGUCUCCGCCCAGCAGCCACCCCGUCCGGGAGGGAGGUGGGGGGAUCAGCCCCCCGCCCGGCCAGCCGCCCAGUCCGGGAGGGAGGUGGGGGGGUCAGCCCCCCGCCCGGCCAGCCGCCCCGUCCGGGAGGUGAGGGGUGCCUCUGCCCGGCCGCCCCUACUGGGAAGUGAGGAGCCCCUCUGCCCGGCCAGCCGCCCGGUCCGGGAGGGAGGUGGGGGGGUCAGCCCCCUGCCUGGCAAGCCGCCCCGUCUGGGAGGGAGGUGGGGGGAUCAGCCCCCCGCCGGGCCAGCCACCCCGUCCGGGAGGUGAGGGGUGCCUCUGCCCGGCCGCCCCUACUGGGAAGUGAGGAGCCCCUCUGCCCGGCCAGCCGCCCCAUCCGGGAGUGAGGUGGGGGGGUCAGCCCCCUGCCCGGCCAGCCGCCCCGUCCGGGAGGUGAGGGGCGCCUCUGCCCGGCCGCCCCUACUGGGAAGUGAGGAGCCCCUCUGCCCGGCCACCACCCCGUCUGGGAGGUGUACCCAACAGCUCAUUGAGAACGGGCCAUGAUGACAAUGGCGGUUUUGUGGAAUAGAAAGCGGGGAAAGGUGGGGAAAAGAUUGAGAAAUCGGAUGGUUGCCGUGUCUGUGUAGAAAGAGGUAGACAUGGGAGACUUUUCAUUUUGUUCUGUACUAAGAAAAAUUCUUAUCCUGUUGAUCUGUGACCUUACCCCCAACCCCGUGCUCUCUGAAACAUGUGCUGUGUCCACUCAGGGCUAAAUGGAUUAAGGGCGGUGCAAGAUGUGCUUUGUUAAACAGAUGCUUGAAGGCAGCAUGCUCGUUGAGAGUCAUCACCACUCCCUAAUCUCAAGUAACCAGGGACACAAACACUGUGGAAGGCCGCAGGGUCCUCUGCCUAGGAAAACCAGAGACCUUUGUUCACUUGUUUAUCUGCUGACCUUCCCUCCACUAUUGUCCUAUGACCCUGCCAAAUCCCCCUCUGCGAGAAACACCCAAGAAUGAUCAAUAAAAAAAUAAAAUAAAAUAAAAUAAAAUAAAAUAAAUAAAGUUUCAUGCGCAUCCGUGUGAAGAGACCACCAAACAGGCUUUGUGUGAGCAGCAUGGCUGUUUAUUUCACCUGGGUGCAGGCGGGCUGAGUCCGAAAAGAGAGUCAGCCAAGGG
rnacentral:lncRNA from 1 species